rnacentral:rRNA from 1 species
AUUGAACGCUGGCGGCAGGCUUAACACAUGCAAGUCGAGCGGGGUGAUGGUGCUUGCACUAUCACUUAGCGGCGGACGGGUGAGUAAUGCUUAGGAAUCUGCCUAUUAGUGGGGGACAACAUCUCGAAAGGGAUGCUAAUACCGCAUACGUCCUACGGGAGAAAGCAGGGGAUCACUUGUGACCUUGCGCUAAUAGAUGAGCCUAAGUCGGAUUAGCUAGUUGGUGGGGUAAAGGCCUACCAAGGCGACGAUCUGUAGCGGGUCUGAGAGGAUGAUCCGCCACACUGGGACUGGGACACGGCCCAGACUCCUACGGGAGGCAGCAGUGGGGAAUAUUGGACAAUGGGGGGAACCCUGAUCCAGCCAUGCCGCGUGUGUGAAGAAGGCCUUAUGGUUGUAAAGCACUUUAAGCGAGGAGGAGGCUCUUUUGGUUAAUACCCAGGAUGAGUGGACGUUACUCGCAGAAUAAGCACCGGCUAACUCUGUGUCAGCAGCCGCCGUAA